AACGAACGCUGGCGGCAUGCCUAACACAUGCAAGUCGAACGAGACCUUCGGGUCUAGUGGCGCACGGGUGCGUAACGCCGGGGAACCUGCCCGUAGGUUCGGAAUAACUCCCCGUAAGGGGUGCUAAUACCAGAUAAUGUCAUCGGACCAAAGAGUUAUCGCCUUUGGAUGGGCCCGCGUUGGAUUAGCUGGUUGGUAGGGUAAAAGCCUACCAAGGCGACGAUCCAUAGCUGGUCUGGGAGGAUGAUCCGCCACACUGGGACUGCGACCCGGCCCAGACUGGUACGGGAGGCAGCAGUGGGGAAUAUUGUGCGCGGGGCGCAAGCCUGACCCCGCAACGCCGCGUGUGUGAGGAAGGGCUUAGGGUUGUACAGCUCUUUUUCACGGGAUGAUAGUGACAGUACCGGGAGAAUAAGCACCGGCUAACUCCGUG
rnacentral:rRNA from 1 species